UGUGAAGUCGUGAUUCUCAAACAGCACAUCCAUAAGUGAAAAAGCGUUUUCUACUCUUUAUACUCCAUGGACAGAUGGCGUUCGGUUAUUGGAUAAAAUAAUGUCACUAGAGUUGUGGUUUUUCUCUUCUCAUUUAUGGACCAUUGAUCCACAUCUAUGGUUGAGAUUUAGUCUCAUAUAAUUAAUGCAAAGGGAGACUUUAAGGGUUGGUGAGAAGAAGCCAGCCGGCACUUUCUUUUCAUUUGGCAGAAAUUGUCCCUUCAAGUUUCUCUCUCUCUCUCUCUCGAGUUCCUUCAUGUUUCUGCUUCUUCUUUUCUCUUUUGAAUUGAAGAACUAGUGAAGAUUAUUGUUAUAAUCUUGUUGUUAUCAGAUGAUGAUAGAACUAUGGUACAGAGUUUUAGGCCUUGAUUGUGGCUGGUAAAUCCGUAGUGUGUUCUUGGGAAGGUUUUGUCUAGUCUUGUGGGCUAGGUUUUCAAGUUAUUGAGAGAUCCUUGUGGAUCGAUGAUCAUAGAGUGGGUAUGAUGUGGUUUCUUCAACUGGUUGUACACUCUCUUGAAGGUUUCUUGCUAGCGACGGGCUUACCUCUGAGUCCCCCAGAUUAGGCCAUUUCUGGCUAAAUUGGGUGAAAAUUUCUGUGUUCGAUUUUCUGUUCUUGCUUUACUUUUUACUGUUUUACGAUUGUUUGUUGGUGUUGGUCGAUAAUCCUAAUAAAUCUGGUAUCAGAGCUCGGUUUUCGAGGCAUCUGCGUGACAUACCUUGCCCUGAGAAUAUUUCAGUGGGUUGAGAAAAAGGUUAAACGGUUGAACAUAUUUUUUUUCGGAUCAGCAGAUUUUUUUCGGAUAUUUCUUGAGAUUUUAAUUUCUGUCCAGAUCUUAAAGAUCUGCACAGACAUUUAGGAGACUAAUUUUUCUGUUUAAGUGCGAAGGUUAAGAACGAAAAUUGGUCAGCUCCUGACCAGCUCCAAUUUUGGCAGGUGAUAGGGUGAUCUCUGAAACUCUUGUGAUUGCACUGUUGUUCAACGGUGCUGUGGGUGAGAUAUAAAUAAUAAAAGAGCUCGUAUAAUUUUGGUGCACAAAAUUGCAUGUUUAUUGUUCUAUGGAUUAAUUACUAAAAUUGUACAUUGUGCAUUGAUAAUUGAUCUGACAAUAGGAGCAUGUUUUAGGAAUUAUACAAAGUUCUUUAUAUUUGUUGAGUAAUUCCUUGAAUUCCAACACAUUGAUUGCUUGUGUACAUUGUUUUCAGUUGUGCAAGUUAGGAUAAUUGUUUUUCAUUCUGUAAUCUGCAUUCCUUAAAUCAGUUAGGAAGUUUCUUGGUUUUGUUUUUGUAAUCAUAUAUUGAGGUGUCUGUUAUGGCUUCCAGUAGUAGCCACCCCUUUUCAGAACCUAUGAUGGGUUCGAAAGUCGAACUAUCACAAUUCUAUGGAAAGGGAGAUUACUCGAUUUGGAAGCAGAAAAUGAGAGCCAUAUUGGUCCAACAGAGGGUUGCUAAAGCCCUGGACGACCCUAACAAAUAUUCUGAUGAACUUAAAGCCAAACCAGAUGAGAUUCUUGAAAUGAAUGAAAUAGCUUAUAGUUCGAUUAUCCUGCACUUAUCUGAUAAUAUUGUAAGACAAGUAGAAGAAUCCAAAACUGCUAGAGAUCUUUGGACAGCCUUAGAUAACUUGUUCUUAACCAAGACUUUACCAAAUAAAAUUUAUCUCCUGGAAAAACUGUUUAGUUUUAAAAUGGAUGAUCGGAAAGACCUGGAAACCAAUUUGAGUGAUUUUAGCAUACUGGUGAA
rnacentral:lncRNA from 1 species